rnacentral:rRNA from 1 species
GGCGAAUGAGUGCAUAGCCGAUCUUGAGAGGUGACUGUCACACCUGGAUCUGAGACACCUGUCCCUGGAUUUCUACGGAGGCAGCAGUUAGGAUCUUCGCAAAUGAACGAAAGGUUCAUGACGAGCAACGGCGCCGUGAGCGAGAAAGGUCUUCGAUCGUAAAGCUCUGUGUCAGGGAAGAACACGUACCGUCGAACAGGGCGGUACCUUGACGGUACCUGACGAGGAAGCCACGGCUAACUACGUGCCAGCAGCCGCGGUAAUACGUAGGUGGCAAGCGUUGUCCGGAAUUAUUGGGCGUAAAGCGCGCGCAGGCGGUUCCUUAAGUCUGAUGUGAAAUCUCGCGGCUCAACCGCGAGCGGCCAUUGGAAACUGGGGAACUUGAGUGCAGGAGAGGGGAGCGGAAUUCCACGUGUAGCGGUGAAAUGCGUAGAGAUGUGGAGGAACACCAGUGGCGAAGGCGGCUCUCUGGCCUGUAACUGACGCUGAGGCGCGAAAGCGUGGGGAGCGAACAGGAUUAGAUACCCUGGUAGUCCACGCCGUAAACGAUGAGUGCUAAGUGUUAGAGGGUAUCCACCCUUUAGUGCUGCAGCAAACGCAUUAAGCACUCCGCCUGGGGAGUACGGCCGCAAGGCUGAAACUCAAAGGAAUUGACGGGGACCCGCACAAGCGGUGGAGCAUGUGGUUUAAUUUGAAGCAACGCGAAGAACCUUACCAGGUCUUGACAUCCCCUGACAACCCUAGAGAUAGGGCGUUCCCCUUUCGGGGACAGGGUGACAGGUGGUGCAUGGUUGUCGUCAGCUCGUGUCGUGAGAUGUUGGGUUAAGUCCCGCAACGAGCGCAACCCUUGACCUUAGUUGCCAGCAUUCAGUUGGGCACUCUAAGGUGACUGCCGGCUAAAAGUCGGAGGAAGGUGGGGAUGACGUCAAAUCAUCAUGCCCCUUAUGACCUGGGCUACACACGUGCUACAAUGGGUGGUACAAAGGGCAGCGAAACCGCGAGGUGGAGCGAAUCCCAAAAAACCACUCUCAGUUCGGAUUGCAGGCUGCAACUCGCCUGCAUGAAGCCGGAAUCGCUAGUAAUCGCGGAUCAGCAUGCCGCGGUGAAUACGUUCCCGGGUCUUGUACACACCGCCCGUCACACCACGAGAGUUUGUAACACCCGAAGUCGGUGGGGUAACCCUUACGGGAGCCAGCCGCCGAAGGUGACCAAAAGGG